AGUGAACGCUGGCGGUAGGCCUAACACAUGCAAGUCGAACGGCAGCACAGGAGAGCUUGCUCUCUGGGUGGCGAGUGGCGGACGGGGGCGGAAUACAUCGGAAUCUACUCUGUCGUGGGGGAUAACGGAGGGAAACUUACGCUAAUACCGCAUACGACCUACGGGUGAAAGCAGGGGAUCUUCGGGCCUUGCGCGAUUGAAUGAGCCGAUGUCGGAUUAGCUAGUUGGCGGGGUAAAGGCCCACCAAGGCGACGAUCCGUAGCUGGUCUGAGAGGAUGAUCAGCCACACUGGAACUGAGACACGGUCCAGACUCCUACGGGAGGCAGCAGUGGGGAAUAUUGGACAAUGGGCGCAAGCCUGAUCCAGCCAUACCGCGUGGGUGAAGAAGGCCUUCGGGUUGUAAAGCCCUUUUGUUGGGAAAGAAAUCCAGCUGGCUAAUACCCGGUUGGGAUGACGGUACCCAAAGAAUAAGCACCGGCUAACUUCGUGCCAGCCGCCGCCGUAA
rnacentral:rRNA from 1 species